GGGGGAUAUUGCACAAUGGGGGAAACCCUGAUGCAGCGACGCCGCGUGGAGGAAGAAGGUUUUCGGAUUGUAAACUCCUGUCGUUAGGGACGAUAAUGACGGUACCUAACAAGAAAGCACCGGCUAACUACGUGCCAGCAGCCGCGGUAAAACGUAGGGUGCAAGCGUUGUCCGGAAUUACUGGGUGUAAAGGGAGCGCAGGCGGGAAGACAAGUUGGAAGUGAAAACCAUGGGCUCAACCCAUGAAUUGCUUUCAAAACUGUUUUUCUUGAGUAGUGCAGAGGUAGAUGGAAUUCCCGGUGUAGCGGUGGAAUGCGUAGAUAUCGGGAGGAACACCAGUGGCGAAGGCGGUCUACUGGGCACCAACUGACGCUGAGGCUCGAAAGCAUGGGUAGCAAACAGGAUUAGAUACCCUGGUAGUCCAUGCCGUAAACGAUGAUUACUAGGUGUUGGGGGAUUGACCCCCUCAGUGCCGCAGUUAACACAAUAAGUAAUCCACCUGGGGAGUACGACCGCAAGGUUGAAACUCAAAGGAAUUGACGGGGGCCCGCACAAGCAGUGGAGUAUGUGGUUUAAUUCGAAGCAACGCGAAGAACCUUACCAGGUCUUGACAUCCGAUGCAUAGCACAGAGAUGUGUGAAAUCCUUCGGGACAUCGAGACAGGUGGUGCAUGGUUGUCGUCAGCUCGUGUCGUGAGAUGUUGGGUUAAGUCCCGCAACGAGCGCAACCCUUAUUGCCAGUUACUACGUUAAGAGGACUCUGGCGAGACUGCCGUUGACAAAACGGAGGAAGGUGGGGAUGACGUCAAAUCAUCAUGCCCUUUAUGACCUGGGCUACACACGUACUACAAUGGCGUUAAACAAAGAGAAGUAAGACCGCGAGGUGGAGCAAAACUCAAAAACAACGUCUCAGUUCAGAUUGCAGGCUGCAACUCGCCUGCAUGAAGUCGGAAUUGCUAGUAAUCGCGGAUCAGCAUGCCGCGGUGAAUACGUUCCCG
rnacentral:rRNA from 1 species